GACAACUACAGUGAAGAGAGAGAGAGAGAGAGAAAAAAAAAUUGCCGGUAAAUUUCACGGUCAAACACGCACACACAUGCGUGGCUGAGAGGGUUAGAUACGCGUGUUGUACGAGCUACUAAGGAGUAAACAGGAGUACGUAGCUUAGCAAUCGCUAUAAGAGCAUGUGGCACAAAAAUGUAUACCUUUAGACAAGCACGAAAAUCCAGAGGAACUUAAAACGGCCUCUCUUUCCUUCAAACUCCGGGCGCGACAGUAAGUAUGAAACGUAUAUUGGAAAUUAAAGUGGCUCUUUCCGUUUCGUAGCAACAUGCUUACUUGGAUGAUGAUGGUUGCACUUACCUCCGUUGAGUUCGCACAGCAAAAAGGUGACCGAAGCGGAAGUAACAACCUUUAAUACUGACCCCGGUGCGGCGGCGAGCAAGUCCACCGGUCUGAUAACGUUGCUUCGAUUAGAUAACCUCAGCAUAUGCCGGCAGCCAGUCUUAGAA